GGGCGCCUAACACAUGCAAGUCGAGCGGAUGAGAGGAGCUUGCUCCUGGAUUCAGCGGCGGACGGGUGAGUAAUGCCUAGGAAUCUGCCUGGUAGUGGGGGACAACGUUUCGAAAGGAACGCUAAUACCGCAUACGUCCUACGGGAGAAAGCAGGGGACCUUCGGGCCUUGCGCUAUCAGAUGAGCCUAGGUCGGAUUAGCUAGUUGGUGAGGUAAUGGCUCACCAAGGCGACGAUCCGUAACUGGUCUGAGAGGAUGAUCAGUCACACUGGAACUGAGACACGGUCCAGACUCCUACGGGAGGCAGCAGUGGGGAAUAUUGGACAAUGGGCGAAAGCCUGAUCCAGCCAUGCCGCGUGUGUGAAGAAGGUCUUCGGAUUGUAAAGCACUUUAAGUUGGGAGGAAGGGCAGUAAAUUAAUACUUUGCUGUUUUGACGUUACCGACAGAAUAAGCACCGGCUAACUCUGUGCCAGCAGCCGCGGUAAUACAGAGGGUGCAAGCGUUAAUCGGAAUUACUGGGCGUAAAGCGCGCGUAGGUGGUUCGUUAAGUUGAAUGUGAAAUCCCCGGGCUCAACCUGGGAACUGCAUCCAAAACUGGCGAGCUAGAGUAUGGUAAANGGUGGUGGAAUUUCCUGUGUAGCCGGUGAAAUGCGUAUAU
rnacentral:rRNA from 1 species